CUUAGGUUCUCGCAAAAGCACAAAAUGCAGUUAGGACUCACUAAGUUGCUUGGCUUUGCUUUUUGAAAAUUGGCAAACCAUAGUUUCAUAUUUGAGUUUUGGAAUCCACUCAAGAGAAUAUCAAUGCAUUGCUUAUGGGUCCUGAAUAUCUAAUUAAUAUCUCAUUUGUGGAUGACACAGAGGUACUUAAGGUAUUUUGGAUAAGCUGGUUUGCUUGGACUAUUGGAACAUAUUUAUUUUUGAGUUGUUUGGUGCACAUCAUAAUCUGGAUAGCCCUGCAGUACCUGCAAACAUGAUGGGUCUGCCGAUUCCUUUAAUCCCAGCUGUGGUUGAUGGUAUUGGAACACAACUAAUGCAGCGAAGGCAGCUUUAUGCUGUUCCAAUGUCCAAGUUGAGAAUGCUGAUGAUCUGUUGUAUGGCUAAUCCUGAAGAAGGCUUGACAGUUGAAGAUGAAAAUGGGAACAUUGUCCGUGAAACCAUAAAGGGCAAUGAUAGUCUUGUUCAAUAUAAGUCUUGCAGACUAUGAGGGAGAGGUUAAUAUACUUGUCGCACCUUGACCAUCCAUGAGGAUGGUGAAAAGCAAAAAAAAAGGGCAAAAGGAGAAGGAAAAUUCAGUGGCAAAUGACAGGACAGGUGGCAAAUCCUCAGGGAGCAGGACCACAAACAUAAGGAAGUGCACACGUUUUAUUUGGAGAGGAAUUUGAUACAGACCUGGAGUUAUCAAGCAGCAAGACCAUUAUAUCCAAGUUCAACGCCAGAAUACACCCAGCUGCAGUCACCAAUCCUUCCUCAAGCAACAAUCAGAUAUAACAGUGCAGAAAAUAGAACAGAUAAAUAUUGAGAUUGUAUCACAGAAGUUUGCGAUGUAAUUAAUGGAAAUAGACAGAUUUUUGUAUUGGGCAAUUUUUCUGAAUAUAAUACAAAUAAAGUUUACUGAAACUCUACUAGCUUUCCUUUUUACAUGAACAUCAAGAGCAAACUGAAAACAAGAAAUUGACACUCAAGGUCUAAUCCAUCUUCCUCCAGCUUUCAAGAGGCUGCUUCUCUCCCACUUUGUCUUUUCCUUUCAAAUUCUUCUCUGCCUUUGCUUUCUCCACCUCCAGGCCUAUAUCACUCUCAUUCCCUGCAUAACUGCCUUGUCAAUCCAGCCUUGCCACACCAUCAAUCGUGCAUAUACUAAUGGUCCCCUGCUUCUGUUGUGAUAUUGCUGCUGCUUCUUCAUUGUGUGCUUGUUAAUCUGCUACCUUUUCCUCAGCCUGCUGCUUGCCAUCUGUUUCUUGUAAUCUGGCACUUUUGCUCCUUUCCUCUUUUUCUUCCUUAUGUACUAACAGAGUUAAAGGCUGGAGGGAAAUAAGGAGCCGAAAAGGCAAGGAGAGGGGUAGCUGGAAAGUUGACAGAAGUUGAGAGAAUCGAAGGAGAGUGCUGGCCUCUCGAAUGCCAAGCAAACCCCAUGAUUUUGUUGUUGGUUCUUUGUGUUUGGAACAUUACACCAGCUGGAUUUUGGUUGUCUGGAACCUUUUGUAAUUUUGUUUCAAUGUAUUAAGAUUGCUUUAUUCAGAUAUCAAUAAAAACGUUGUUCCAGAAUUUAUAUUGCACUGUUAUGUUGUUGUUGUUGUUGAAUUGUGUGGGUUUUGUGUGGAAAAGGGGAGUUUGAGUUGCAGGAAGCAGCCUAGAAAGUGAAGAGAGCAUGAGGCAGUGGUGUUGAAUAUCCAGGUACCUAUCAGAUUCAAGCUGAGCAUGAUACCCAGAAGAGGGACGAAUACUUGCCGAGGUUGAUGGCUCUUCCAACCUAGAAAUGGGCUGAAAUUCUAGCACAGGCACACCAAAGCGUUGAUUUUCUGAAAGAUCUAGAUGUCAUAAGGACUGUGCUAAAUAUUUUACAGACAAAUACAAGUGUUGCCAGUUCUCCUGGAACGUUCUUCUUGUCGCAAAUUUCUGGGAUCUUAUUGGACAUGCUAAAUGUCUACAAGUAAUUUCAUCUUCAUUACUGAUGAUAAAUGCAAGCGCUGUUUGUUUCUUGACUACUAACUAAUCUUGUUAUUUACAAUUUUUAUUACCAGAAUGAAUAGUGAGCUUAUAUCAAGUAGCAUUGCAGAAGGUGUGCCUUUUGCAUCUAAAACAUCAUAUGUGAAACGUCUGCUGUAAAACCAAUGAUUUGGAAUUAGUUUCUGAUUGGUUUAAGUUAAUUGUUUGUUGUUUUCUUAAUUUACUGUCAAUUGGGCAGCUCUGUUAAUCUGGAGACUCUGAAGCUCAUUGAGACAUUCUUGGACAAGGCUGAAGAUCAACCCCAGAUCGGACAACAGUUUGUGCCCCCAGUGAUGGAUCCUCUUCUUGGUGACUAUGCUAGGAACUUACCUGAUGCUAGAGAGUCAGAAGUUUUUUCCCUUUUUGCAAUGUCCCUUUUUUUUCCUUUAAGGUUGAAUUAGACUGAUGGAUUAUUUGUCACAUGAGGAGACAGUCUUGUAUUCUGACUAAUCUCUAUAGAAUAUUAAAAUUUUUUACUCACA